GAUGAACGCUGGCGGCGUGCCUAAUACAUGCAAGUCGAGCGAACUGAUUAGAAGCUUGCUCCUAUGACGUUAGCGGCGGACGGGUGAGUAACACGUGGGCAACCUGCCUGUAAGACUGGGAUAACUUCGGGAAACCGAAGCUAAUACCGGAUAGGAUCUUCUCCUUCAUGGGAGAUGAUUGAAAGAUGGUUUCGGCUAUCACUUACAGAUGGGCCCGCGGUGCAUUAGCUAGUUGGUGAGGUAACGGCUCACCAAGGCAACGAUGCAUAGCCGACCUGAGAGGGUGAUCGGCCACACUGGGACUGAGACACGGCCCAGACUCCUACGGGAGGCAGCAGUAGGGAAUCUUCCGCAAUGGACGAAAGUCUGACGGAGCAACGCCGCGUGAGUGAUGAAGGCUUUCGGGUCGUAAAACUCUGUUGUUAGGGAAGAAUAAGUACAAGAGUAACUGCUUGUACCUUGACGGUACCUAACCAGAAAGCCACGGCUAACUACGUGCCAGCCGCCGCCGUAA
rnacentral:rRNA from 1 species